GGUGAGUAACGCGUGGGAACGUACCCUUCACUACGGAAUAGCUUCUGGAAACGGAAGGUAAUACCGUAUACGCCCUCCGGGGGAAAGAUUUAUCGGUGAAGGAUCGGCCCGCGUUAGAUUAGUUUGUUGGUGGGGUAAUGGCCUACCAAGACUACGAUCUAUAGCUGGUCUGAGAGGAUGAUCAGCCACACUGGGACUGAGACACGGCCCAGACUCCUACGGGAGGCAGCAGUGGGGAAUCUUGCACAAUGGGCGAAAGCCUGAUGCAGCCAUGCCGCGUGAAUGAUGAAGGCCUUAGGGUUGUAAAAUUCUUUCGCCAGGGAUGAUAAUGACAGUACCUGGUAAAGAAGCCCCGGCUAACUUCGUGCCAGCAGCCGCGGUAAUACGAAGGGGGCUAGCGUUGUUCGGAAUUACUGGGCGUAAAGCGCGCGUAGGCGGGCUAUUAAGCCAGAUGUGAAAGCCCGGAGCUCAACUCCGGAAUUGCAUUUGGAACUGGUAGCCUAGAGACCAGGAGAGGUUAGCGGAAUACCGAGUGUAGAGGUGAAAUUCGUAGAUAUUCGGUGGAACACCAGUGGCGAAGGCGGCUAACUGGACUGGUACUGACGCUGAGGCGCGAAAGUGUGGGGAGCAAACAGGAUUAGAUACCCUGGUAGUCCACAC
rnacentral:rRNA from 1 species